AUUGAACGCUGGCGGCAUGCUUUACACAUGCGGUCGAACGGUAACAGGCCUUCGGGUGCUGACGAGUGGCGAACGGGUGAGUAAUGCAUCGGAACGUACCCAGAGGUGGGGGAUAACGCAGCGAAAGCUGUGCUAAUACCGCAUGUGAUCUGAGGAUGAAAGCGGGGGACCGAGCAGCAAUGUUUGGCCUCGCGCCUUUGGAGCGGCCGAUGUCGGAUUAGCUAGUUGGUGGGGUAAAGGCCUACCAAGGCGACGAUCCGUAGCUGGUCUGAGAGGACGACCAGCCACACUGGGACUGAGACACGGCCCAGACUCCUACGGGAGGCAGCAGUGGGGAAUUUUGGACAAUGGGCGCAAGCCUGAUCCAGCAAUGCCGCGUGCGGGAAGAAGGCCUUCGGGUUGUAAACCGCUUUUGGCAGGAACGAAACGGUGUCCGCUAAUACCGGGCGCUAAUGACGGUACCUGCAGAAUAAGCACCGGCUAACUACGUG
rnacentral:rRNA from 1 species